UGUCCAUCUCCUUACCUCAGUCAACAUCAUUUCAUGGAUCGGCUUUGAAGGUGUAUAGAAUUUGACCUGGAACUAAUUUCCAUGGUUUAUUGGUCAAUGUUAAGUUACUGUGAUUUGUUUUUAUAUUUCCCAGGAACUAUAAGCAAUGUUGCAGCUUUAUUUAAUUUAUAGAGGUGCAAGUGUCAGUCUUGCAGGCUUCACAUGACCUUUACUGGUUUUUAUGGUUCAUUUGAUAAUAUUAAGGUUUUCUGAGAUAAUAUAAGUAAUAUAGGGACACUAUUUUUAUGCUCCAUUUAUGGGCAUUACGAUUUCUGGUUUGUGCGUCCGUUCAUUAGUCUGUUCAUUAGUCCGUUCAGCCCGCUUCAGAUUAAAGUUUUUGGUCGAGGUAGUUUUUGAUGAAGUUGAAGUCCAAUCAACUUGAAACUCAGGAUACAUAAUCCUUAUGAUAUGAUCUGUCUAAUUUUAAUGCUAAAUCAGAGUUUUUACUCCAUUUUCAUGGUCCACUGAACAUAGAAUAUGAUAAUGCGAAAGGGGCAUCCAUGUGCUUGGGACACAUUCUUGUUUUGUAAUGUGUACAUGUCUGUCAGGCAGGUUUAAUCAGACCUUGAUCUCAUUUCAUAGCUAAAUCUUUUUUUCAGAUACUAUAAGCAAUUGGUCAACUAUAUUUGGGAUAUGAAAUGAUUGCAUGUAGUACAUGUUGUAUGGCAGGGUUCAUCUGACAUUGGCAUAAUUUUUAUAGCUCAGUGGUC
rnacentral:lncRNA from 1 species